rnacentral:tRNA from 1 species
GGAUUACCCAAGUCCGGCUGAAGGGAACGGUCUUGAAAACCGUCAGGCGGGUAAAACCGUGCAAGGGUUCGAAUUUCCUUGGUCUA